rnacentral:misc_RNA from 1 species
GAUGAAGAACGUAGCGAAAUGUGAUAAGUAGUGUGAAUUGCAGAAUUCAGUGAAUCAUCGAAUCUUUGAACGCACAUUGCGCCCUCCGGCAUUCCGGGGGGCAUGCCUGUCCGAGCGUCACGAAAACCCCAUCACACUCGUUGUGGUCAUGGCUGCAGUGAGUCGUCUCCAGCGGAGAGGGUCACGCCGCUGAAAGGAAUGGUGCGGAUGAGUUCCGAUGGCCGAACGUAGUACUUGACAACCGUCGGCCGAUGGGACCCUCCAUCUCGCCCUGACGACGUACCCCCGUCGUACCCCCGAUCAGGUGGACCUCGGAUCAGGUAGGGAUACCCGCUGAACUUAAGCAUAUCAAUAAGCGGAGGA